AGGGUUUGAUUCUGGCUCAGGAUGAACGCUGGCGGCGUGCCUAACACAUGCAAGUCGAGCGGGAAAUACUUGAUUGAAACUUCGGUCGAUUGAUAGUAUGGAGAGCGGCGGACGGGUGAGUAACGCGUAGGCAACCUGCCUUAUGCAGAGGGAUAGCCAUUGGAAACGAUGAUUAAAACCUCAUAAUGCCAAGAGUUCACAUGUACUUUUGGCCAAAGAUUUAUCGGCAUAAGAUGGGCCUGCGUCUGAUUAGCUAGUUGGUGAGGUAACGGCUCACCAAGGCGACGAUCAGUAGCCGACCUGAGAGGGUGAUCGGCCACAUUGGAACUGAGACACGGUCCAA
rnacentral:rRNA from 1 species